UCAUGUGUUUGUAUCUCUGGUUACAGCCGAAGGAGAACCGUUUCAGGACCUCUGAAGAACUAAAGAUUUUAAAAUACUCAAAACCACGAGAGUAAAGUAAUAUCCUGAGAAUACGAUUUGUAAGAAAAACAGAAACUGUGUCUUCUCCAAACGCUGCUGACGGCUUGGAAAUCUCUGUUUUUGUUUU